GAAAUGCGAUACUUAAUGUGAAUUGCAACCCCCUGUGAAUCAUCGAGUUUUUGAACGUAAAUUACACCUUUUCGGAUGUCUAAAAACAUUGCGAAAGGGUAUACAUUUUUAAGAGUAUCGAAAAAAAAGAUCCAAAUCUUUCAUUUGGAGUAAUAACGGUCAAUAUUUUGGGUCUUGGUUCAGUGGUAUAAGGAACUGUUAUCUACUUUUUAGGGAUGGUGGGACUUUGUAUCGAGCAACCUUACUUUGAAGUUGAUCGAAAGACUUGAUAGAUCAUUAUCAGUUUUACUUUUUAUGAUGGACUUUAAGAAUGUAUGGAAACCUGCUGAAUUUAA
rnacentral:misc_RNA from 1 species